rnacentral:rRNA from 1 species
ACCUGGAGGAAGAGAAAGAAAAAUCGAUUUCCUGAGUAGCGGCGAGCGAAACGGAAAGAGCCCAAACCAAGAAGCUUGCUUCUUGGGGUUGUAGGACACUCUAUACGGAGUUACAAAAGAAAGUUAUAAAUGAAGCGGUCUGGAAAGGCCCGCCAAAGACGGUAACAGCCCGGUAGUUGAAAUAGCUUUCCCUCCAGAGUGGAUCCUGAGUACGGCGGAACACGUGAAAUUCCGUCGGAAUCCGGGAGGACCAUCUCCCAAGGCUAAAUACUCCCUAGUGACCGAUAGUGAACCAGUACCGUGAGGGAAAGGUGAAAAGCACCCCGGAAGGGGAGUGAAACAGUUCCUGAAACCGUGUGCCUACAAGUAGUUAGAGCCCGUUAAUGGGUGAUAGCGUGCCUUUUGUAGAAUGAACCGGCGAGUUACGAUUUGUUGCAAGGUUAAGCGGAAAAAGCGGAGCCGUAGCGAAAGCGAGUCUGAAUAGGGCGCAUAAGUAACAGGUCGUAGACCCGAAACCAGGUGAUCUACCCAUGUCCAGGAUGAAGGUAAGGUAAUACUUACUGGAGGUCCGAACCCACGCACGUUGAAAAGUGCGGGGAUGAGGUGUGGGUAGCGGAGAAAUUCCAAUCGAACUUGGAGAUAGCUGGUUCUCUCCGAAAUAGCUUUAGGGCUAGCCUCGAGGUAAAGAGUCAUGGAGGUAGAGCACUGUUUGGACUAGGGGCCCUUCUCGGGUUACCGAAUUCAGAUAAAC